AGCUGUGAGCUCUGCCGCAUGACUAGAAGUCUUGUACCACCAAUAAACUGCAGGAAUCUUAACAAUAAAUUUUGUUUCCUCAAAGACAAGGCUUGCAAGAGACAGUACAUUAUCUACGUGAUAUAUCAACGUCUGGGCAUACCACUGGAGGAAAAAGCGUCCAUAGUAGCUAUCAUAAUCACCGCGUUCACAGAAGAACCCUGAUUCAUGUGGUCUAGAAU
rnacentral:misc_RNA from 1 species